CUUCACCGACUUCUCUCCCUGGAGUUGAUGUCUGAAGAGGACAUUGUUCCUCGGUAGCCAGGUCAAUACUUUCUGUGACUUCUGCCUGAUUGCAUUCAGCAAUAAAGCCAGUGGCUGCAGUGCUUGCUGUGACUUCCUUGUGGUUGGCUUCAAAGGGAAGGGGGAGAACUUUUCUGAAGUAAAGCAAAUAAAUAAAAAUAAUAUGGCAAAGUUACCAAGCUAGCUAGAAGCUGAAUUGGAGAACUGAACUAACCUUUUGGUAAGUUACUACUAUGAUCAUCUUCUUGUGUUGAUGCAAUAUCCUGAAUUGAGCCCCUGUCCUUCUCAUCUAAGGCUACAAUCUUAUCUGAUGAACUAUUUUGAUACGAGGCCACCUGCUUAUCUUCAGCAUUGGUAGUGAUGGGGUCCUUUGAGGACUUUGACAAGUUGACAUCCUCAGUGCCAUGCUUCUCAUUAUCUGGCAUACACAAGCAGAUCAGCGAAAAUUCAUUAUACUGAAUUUUUUGCCUAAAUUAGUACACCAUAACCAUACUUGUUUCACUGUUCGUGCUGUUGAGCGCAGGUGAACCAUGUGGAGGCUCAAUGGUUUUGUCGACUCUGUUAGCGGUCUCUUCUGAUACUAAAUUUCGAAAAGAAGAUAAUUUGUGAAAUACUGAAAGUCUGAAACCUCAUUGGUAGAUAGCAGAUAGUAUUCAGCAAAAUUCAUACCUUGUUGUCCAGUGACGUUGUUGUUUCCCAUGAUCUCACUGCCUACUGCACUUCGCAGCUCAAGUUCUGAAAUACUAUGAGCAAUCAGAACAGCAUUUUAGUUAGCUCAAGCCCAACCUGGAACAAAAAUUAUCGGAUAUGAAAGACAAGGGGAUGUGCAAGCGAACACCACAGACCACGAUGGAUUGAUGGCAGACACUUCAAGACUAGCUAGAAAGAGCACAAGAAGACAGCAUAUUGUUGUCUGUGAGCCUUGUAGUAUUUGUAGUGCACGGAGCUCAUUAUAAGAAACACUAGCUUUGUGGGUCACUAUUUCCUCUUGUUUUUUUUUUUGAAAAGUUAACUAAAGUAAAGCUGGUGAUCUGAUUGAAUUAUGACCAUAUCAUUCAUCAACAUGACUCAGUUUGUUUAAAAUAGGGUCUACUGAAAUUCAGCAGGAAAGCUGAACCCUUUAAUCACAAAGGAUUAGUAAUAUUGGGGGCAUGAUUUAACAGGAUGGUUGUAUGCUUUUUGCUGAACUAAGGAUAUGUUUAUUUGCUUA